UACGUAGGGUGCGAGCGUUAAUCGGAAUUACUGGGCGUAAAGCGUGCGCAGGCGGUUUUGUAAGCCAGAUGUGAAAUCCCCGGGCUUAACCUGGGAAUGGCAUUUGGGACUGCAAGGCUUGAGUGCGGCAGAGGAGACUGGAAUUCCUGGUGUAGCAGUGAAAUGCGUAGAUAUCAGGAGGAACACCGAUGGCGAAGGCAGGUCUCUGGGCCGCAACUGACGCUGAGGAGCGAAAGCAUGGGGAGCGAACAGG
rnacentral:rRNA from 1 species